rnacentral:rRNA from 1 species
CUCCUACGGGAGGCAGCAGUGGGGAAUAUUGCACAAUGGGGGAAACCCUGAUGCAGCGACGCCGCGUGGAGGAAGAAGGUCUUCGGAUUGUAAACUCCUGUUGUUGGGGAAGAUAAUGACGGUACCCAACAAGGAAGUGACGGCUAACUACGUGCCAGCAGCCGCGGUAAAACGUAGGUCACAAGCGUUGUCCGGAAUUACUGGGUGUAAAGGGAGCGCAGGCGGGAAGACAAGUUGGAAGUGAAAUCUAUGGGCUCAACCCAUAAACUGCUUUCAAAACUGCUGGCCUUGAGUAGUGCAGAGGUAGGUGGAAUUCCCGGUGUAGCGGUGGAAUGCGUAGAUAUCGGGAGGAACACCAGUGGCGAAGGCGACCUACUGGGCACCAACUGACGCUGAGGCUCGAAAGCAUGGGUAGCAAACAGGAUUAGAUACCCUGGUAGUCCAUGCCGUAAACGAUAUUACUAGGUGUUGGAGGAUUACCC